UUCUAGACCCAGUGGUGAAACAGUAGGAGUGGCUGUGGGACUGAGUUUGUCCUUUUUGUUCAUCAUUUUGCUGAUAUUAAUGAUCCUGCUGUGGUUCUACAAAAUGAAGAAAGAAAAGCAGCAGAAAUCCAGUCAGACAUCAGAGCAGAAUCAGAGGCGAUCAGGAGCUGAAGACUCUCAGUCAGGACACAAACCACAUCAGACUGGAAAUGAACAC